rnacentral:lncRNA from 1 species
UGGCAAACAACUUUCUCAAAGUUGUGGUGGUGGAGCCUCCAUGUUUUGGCUAACAAUUUUUUGCUUACUUUAAUUAAGGUAUUUUAUAUUUUUGUACACUUAGAAAGAAAAGAAAAAAAUACGUGUACUGUCAUGUCAGGUUAUAACGGAAUUUUGACUCGCAAAUUCUUGAGAUAUUUUUCGGUCAAGAACGAUUGGCUUAGAAGAUUGAAUUUUAUUCCUGAAGUGAAAUAUGACCUUUUUAACGUAAAUCUCUCAAAUUCUCCAAAGAUGACAUCAUCAAAAUAUAUUCUCAUCGGAGCACGAGAUAGUAAAGCAACCUCCUCAGCAUAUCAACAAUCCGGCCGCCCUUGAGCGCAUCCGAUUUCGUCGCAUAAACCUGAGCUCCACACCUCUCCGCGCCGCCGCCGGUCAGCAUUCCGAAGCUCCGGCUCGCCGCGAAUUCAAUCUUCAAAUCACCGCACUCGAUCGUCAAGUACGACGACGCCGUUCCGCGCGUGGCGUUCGCCUCGAUCAACAGAUCGAGAAUCACGAUCCCCCCGCCACCGGCGGCAGCAGCGGCCUCUUCCGCCCGCAUCGUGAAAUUCGAGCGCAGAGACAGUCCGCCGCGACCGCGGAUCAUCGACGGCGCUCCGACGGAGACGAAGCCGCCUCUCGAGUAGAGCCACGACCGAGCCUCGUAGGCAACGCCGGGAUCGGCGAAGAGGCCUCGCUCCGAUUGAUUGCUCAAGGACAGAUCUGCGCUCCAUGAGCUGUCGGAGAUGUUGAAAGACGAAACGUGGAAGGAAUCGACCUCGUACUCGGUCUGCACGCUGAGGAUUAAGGCUUCUGUCGCCAUCAAGGUGAGGGAGGCUGCGAAGAGGGAGAUUAUAAUUAAUGCUGGCAAUGCGGCCGGGGAGGAAUCUUGGGAGCUCGGCGGGUUCUCGAGGUCGGCGGCUGCUGACGGCGGCGGACUUCCGAGGUUGUUGUCUCCCUUUGCGGCUGCGCGAUGGUGAUCGGACAUGUUUGGAGUUUUUUUUGUUAUCUCAUCUUUUUUUUUUUGAUAGACAUGUGAGUCUUGAAGAAGUAAGUAAUUUAAUUGGAUGGAAUUUAGGCUGAGUGUUUGAUUCCAAGUGGGGUUUUGAUGGUGGAGGGAAUAUUCGAAUGAGAUAUUAUGUCUAAAUCCGGGGUAUAUAUAUCUCAACAAAUAUUUGUAUAUUUUAUUGUGGAUCUAAACUUUUCUAUCUUAAUCUGAUCGCCAAGGAUAAUUUACUAAGUUUUUGUGCAAAUAUCACAAUGAGCAGAAAAGAAUUGGAUGAAAUGGGGUUGAAUGGGAUUCAGAGAUUUGAAGUGUUAUAACAAAGCGAUGGUCUCAAACCAGGUGAAGGGGAUGUUUUGAAAUCCUAGUUCGUUGGUUGCACGUGUCUUGGAAGCGAUGUAUUACUAAGCCAAAUGCUUCCUUUAUUCUGGAGCCCAUUGGUUAUUCACAAACGUCUAUUACGGAGAGUUGGAAAUGGGAAUUUUUUUGAGAAUUUCCAAUAUAAAUGGGCGAUUAGUUUGAAGGAGCCCAAAAUAUUGACAGUUAAGGAGUGGAGACUUUUUUUAUACUAAUAAAUUAAUAAUAAAAUAAAUAAAUUUAAAGACCGCCAAAAAAAAAAAAAAAAAGAUGAGACUUUGGAGACUUGUGUAGUCCUUAUCUUUGUCUAUCCGCACAUGUCUCUAAGUUUUUGUUUGCUUUGUACACAAUCUCAUCUUUUGCCCCAUAAUUCUCCAUUACGAUUUUGGAAUUUUCUUAAAAGACAAAUGGCUUGAAUAUGCUGGAUAUAAUCUUGAGUUGGAGGACUAUGAUGUUGUGAUUUUUAAAAUUCUAAUGGCAGAUUCGACAGAGGAAGCUCGAUGAUAUUAGUAAUGACGUCCACGGAUUGAGAAUCGCCGAUUUCAAACUUGAACUAGCGAUUCAUAGUUCACAGGAAAAAUGAAUCGUAAUCGGACCGUGAAGAGGUAGUGACGGGAUAGUUCCGAGCCUAGAACCGGCAGUUUCGAGCGGGGCCUGAAAUCGUCGGUUCAAGGGUCGAAUCGAUAGUUUUUGACUUUAUUAUUAUUAUUUUUAUUUUGUGAUUUAUUAUGUAUAUUUUUAUUAUGAAAUUACAUUAUUUAAUGUAUUACAUGUAAUGAAAUUGAUGAAUAAAGUCAAUACGAAAUGCAAUAAAUUAUAAACAAGAUAAAAUUAUACGUACUAACAUAUUUACAAUCAAAAUAUAAUAAAAUUCACAUUUUUAUUGAAUUUCAAGGUAAAAAAAAAUACAAUUUACAUAUACAAAUAAAUUAAAAUAUUCAAAAUUUAAGUUACAAUAUUGAAUAAGUAAACUAAACUAACUACGCUAAAGUUUCUAAACUACUAAGAGUCUAAGAUUAACAAUUAUAUUAGAUGUAAGUGGUUUUAUACCCUUACCAUUAUCUCUAGUGGUUUCUUCCACAUCAUGUUGUGUGUUUGACUGGCCUCUUCCCUUUGCAAACUAUAUGCAAAUCGUUCACCCUCCUCUUCUUGCAAAUGUCGAGCAUGUUGUUCAUCUAUGAAUUCGGCAACCUCACAGCAUAAUGAUGGAGUCAUCUUCUUGAUGAUAAUGAAUGAGGAGGAGGUUGGAGUGCUAACAUCUUCAUCCUAGGAGUCGAGGUUAAUAGACUUGUCAUGGUUAUCACGAGAUGAAGACAUAAUGAUAAAUACAAGAAAUGUAGUAGUAGGACAAGUAGAGAUUAAUUUAACAAGAACAAGAGAGUAUAUAUAACAAGAACAAUUUAGUAAAAGCAACUAGAGCACAUAAAAAAUAGAGUCAAAGUAGAAGUAAAUGAAGAAGAGAGUGUAGAAUUGUUAACAUAAUGUGAGUGAGUUUGAAGAUAACCGUCACUUUCCGCCUCGACUGCCACGCCUGCCACCCCUAGCCCCCUAUCCAAUGCACCCCUACAAGCUAGGCAGUCCAAUCUAACGUUAACUAUAUAUUCGCGAUUUUUGGGCUUGUAACCGAAUAAGGUGUGUGACAGUUUUGAUUUUAGCCCGUGAUCAAUGAUUUCGAGCCCAGACCGUUCACCACGGGCCGAUUCACCCGAUUCCAAUUGACCUUGGAUGUCAUUACUUGCGAGUACAUGUUGGUGGGAGUGUCUCAUAUGCACUCAUCUGCUAAUCGUGCAGUUUAUUAAUUAGUCUAUUUGUUGGACUGAUAAUUUUUCGUUGUGCUUGAUGGAUAUUGUAACUUGUAAAAGAAGACCUCAUUGAAUAUACAAUAUAUUUUCCACUAUAAAGAAAAAAACUAGCAUUUAGUUUCUUUAUGUUUAUAUUCGCACUAGACCACAAUAUAAUGUAUAUUUGCUUGAUUAUUUAGUUGAACUGUCAUGUUUUAUGUUAAAUAUUUUUUUUAAAUAAAAAUAUAGCUCAAAUGUGACUAUCUUACUCCGUAGUCCUUGGGCCCUUUCGCAACAACAAAAUUUAGUUAAAUCUUCCUUCAAAUCCACAAAAAUAUAGACACAAAUAGUGAUAAAUAUAUAUUUCAUAUACAGACGAGAUCCUCUACUUCAAACCGUUUUCGAUCAGUGACACAAGUGAAUGCAUUGCUAAUAAAUAAAUAAAUGAAGAGAAAAAAAAUAUGAAAGAAUUCAUGCAAGCCUCCCACUCUCUUCAAGCAUCAUCCCUUUAAGGCUUUUAGCCAACCACAUUGCUGUAUCUCUGGGAGAAACCUUUUCCUUCCCAAAAGGCUUCAAAACUACUGCAAGCUCUUCCAACUUGCUCUGCUCAAGCAAAUCAGCACACAGCUCCAGCAGCCCCUCGAGCGCGUCUGCCCGUUGCCUAAACGAUUUCACAUCUAAGGUCUCCUUUGCCACUACUUCCUCCGAUGUGUUUGGUUGAGCUGAGCUGGAAGAAUCCGAUGUAACGUGACAUAUGGUGAUGGAGGAGGAGGAGGCGUCCGUUACCGGUGAAACGAGGAUUUCCUCAUCACCACAAGGUGGGAUCAUCUCCAUAUGUAAAGCACAGCUCAUCUCUUCAUCCUCCAAAAUCUCAUGGAAAGUAUCAAUGGAGCGUGCUGUUGCUUGAACCCCGUCACACGCUCUUUCAGAGUGUGACGAGGAAGGUGUGGAGCAGCUCGGUCUAGACUCGUUGAUAUCUAGCUCGGUAGCUUGCUGGUUCAUGGCUUUGCAGCAGGUCUCAUGGUGUUUCUUCGAGGGAGAUGAUGACGAGCUAAUAGGAGUUCUUACGUCAUUACCAAGCUCAAAUCCCGGGACUGAAGAUGCUGUAUGUCUACCAUCUUUCUGCAUUCUAUUAGAUGCAGCAGAGUUCCUACAAUGCUGCAUGAUUUCUUCACGAAAGUGCAAUCGUGAGGUACGAGGCACUGAUUUGGCAUGUUCAUCACCAUCCGUAGCUUUAUCUGGGUGGUGUCCCAGCUGUCUCAUCCGAGCAGGAAAUGAAGAAGUUCUAUCGAGGGCUCGUUUGGAAGAGAGUUCUUCACCAGAAACUAGCUUCAUAGGAGCAGUAGAAGGGGUUCCUUCAUGUCUGACUUUGGUCUUUUGCGGAGUUUCCAUGACAGAUGACUGUAAAAAGGUUAAUACAUCAGAAUCUAGAUUGAAAGAGACGACGAAAACCCAUAAAAUAACUAUUACCCGGGGCUUUGAAGAGCUUGCACUACUUGAUCUUGCAUGGCAGUCUCUCAAGGGAGAAGUAUUUUCUCUGCUUUUGCCUUCCUUCAGAGCCUUUAUAAUGUUCUUGAUGACCCUCGGCUGCUUUGGCAUGUCGUCCCUCUCAGCUUCCUUCGCAUUUGCAGGCGACGAAUCAGUUUCUUGUAGACCAUCUCUUAACCGAAGCUGCCCGUAGGAACGAGUUUCAGCAAUGAUAAGGCCAUCCUCUAGAAUCUCACUCGACAUCAGGCUGUCUCUGUCGCUGCAAGAACUGCUGCUGCUGCUGCUGCUUUCGCUUUCAGUCAUACUCUUCCUAUUGUCGUUAGCAGUACAAAUAUGUCUUGUAGGAGCAGUGUAAGAUUGACGGUACUCAUCGAUGUAGGGUUGCAGAAAAGUGUGCUUCAUCAAGAGCUCAGACGCCUGAUAGAGAUUGAAACCGGAUUACAUAAAGCCUUUCCUAGAGUAAAAAGGAAUGACAUCUCUAGAUUCUUACACUCGACCGAUGUUCAGGAUUUUUGCGCAGCAUGCUCUUGAUGAGAGAUUUCCUGUGACAUAACACGUCGUGAAUUAGUCAGCACAGACAAAAUGAACAGAGGAUCGAGUAUUUGCAAGAGAGAAAACGUGUUGUUUCAGUGCAGUAUGCUUUCAUCAGAUUAGGCCGAGUCAGUGGGGUAGGAAACAGAAACCAAAGGUCAGUGAUAUCACCACUCCACCCCCUAUCGACUCUCAAAGCACAACGACAAGAGCAAAGAGAAUAAAUAGUUAUUUACAAGGAUGGGGAGUAACAAGGAGGCAACGGGCCAAUGGCUGAUCGGUUAAUCUUGCUUAUUAAGCCUGCCAUAUCCUGAAAACACAAAUACAGCAGACAUGAGAUAUGUAAGAAGAAUCUGAAUAGAUAUAAACAUACAGUUAGGAAUCUUACAGAAGCCUUGAAUGCACGACGAUGAGCAGCCAUUUCAUACAUGCAGCAACCUGAUUGAUACAGAUGAAACGAGGUCCGAUUACUGUGAUUCAUUCUUCUACAUCAGUAGAGAAGAUUAAAAUGGUUAAUUACAUAAUACGUACCAAGGGACCAUAUAUCAGAUUUCAAACCAUAAGGAAUAUCAGCAAGUAGUUCGGGGCACAUGUAAUUUGGAGUUCCAACCACCUGUGCAAAGAAACAAAGACGAAUUGUCCCAGCCUCAAAAGCUUUCACUACAAAUGAUUCACACAGCCUAAUGUAGAAAUCUGAAAGAGAUAAAAGAAUGCUUAGUAAGCCCAUACUGAAGAAGCUAAAUCAUCUGCUUUCAAAGUUUUAGCAAGCCCGAAAUCACCUGCACGAACAUAACAUCAAAAAGGGAUAACAACAUCAGUUUGUGCAUCGAGGUUUCAUUCAAGCUAAGCUAAAAAAUGACCAACUGUGACUUCAAGCUUACCUAGACGAAUAUCUUGAUCUUUGGUGAGGAAGAUGUUUGAGCACUACCAAGAAAGAGCAGAGAUAAUAGUCCAUAUAACCAUUUAAGCUGAUCACAAAAAAAAAACAACUGGGUUUAACACUGAGAUGCUUACUUUGAGGUCCCGAUGGAGAACAAAACCAGAAUGAAGAUACUCAACUGCCAGCAAUAGCUGAGUGAACCACUUCAACAGUUUCUGCAUCAUGAUUAUAAUAUAAUUUAACUGGCUAAGACAAGCCACGACAAAAAUAAAACGAAGAAAACCAUAUCUGCGAAACAGCAUAAAAGAAAGCCUAAUCUUCGGAGUGGAAAAAAAUAAAACCUCCUCAGGAAAGUAGUGCCCAUUGGCUUUCUUCAUAAGCUCAGCCCUAUUGCAGUUUCCAUGACCAAACAACUGAAUUAAAUUCGCCAAAACCGUGCAUAAAUUUCCAGCAAAAAAAACUACAUAUGCAAAUACUUACAUGUCACCACCUUCACAAUAGCCAGUAACUAUGCAAACAAAGCAACCCUGCAUACAAGUAAUAACUAUUGAGGAAAGAAACUUAGCUAAAAUGUCUAAAACAUACUAAUCACAAAAUGUAUCUUUUUGCUGACAGUUAGUAGCUGCAUUACCUUCUCCACCCAAGCUUCCUUGAACUCGACGAUGAACGGAUGCUGUAGCUGAGCAAUUAGGGCCAUCUACACAUUCAAACAGCAAAAAUGCAAGCACUAGUAAACACCAUAAAUCACAUUUACAUCAAAAAAAUUACACUUCAACUUAUUAAAGGAGAUAGAAUUUUGAAAUGGCCCUUUUGCCAACAAUUAGUAAAAACACCAUAAAUCACAUUUACAUCAAAAAAUUUACACUUCAACUUAUCAAAGGAGAGAAUUUUGAAAUGGCCCUUGCCAAGAACUAGUAAACACCAUAAAUCACAUUUGCAUAAAAGAUUUACACUUCAACCUAUCAAAAAAGAUUAAAUUUCGAAAUAACCUUUUUGUCAAGAACUGGUAAACACCAUAAUUCACAUUUACAUAAAAAAAUAUACACUUACAUCUGAUCAAAGAAGAUGGAAUUUUGAAAUGGCCCUUUUGCCAAGAACAGUAGCUAGAAUACAAAAUAGGCACAGAAUCAACAGAAAAGCAAGCAUAGGCCUCAAGAAUCGAAUGGUUUAAAUUCAAUAAAAACAAAAUAAAACAAGACAAAGUCAGAUAAAUAUAGUGAAACAUGAAUGCACCUCCUGAUGAGCUGAUCUCCUGCAACGUUCUGUUUGUCUAGCCAAUCGAAUCUUCUUCAGCACAUACCUAAUAAAUUACCAAAAAAAAAAAUAUAAAAUCUACAUUUUUUUUCCAUAAUAAAUUGAAGAACCACCAUUCCAAAAUCUUCGGACAUCAAUAAAUUUAACAUAAGGUCUAAAAUAAACUACUUUUUUCUUUCCAACUUGUGAUUAACCAAAAUGGCUGCACCAAAAGCUCCACGCCCAAUCUGCUCCAUGAUCUCAUAAUGGUCCAUUUUUGACUCCAUCUUCUCAGCAAUCUGUCCGCAUAAAAAACAAAAAUAAAAUAAAAAAGGGAAAAACUCUUGAGACGUUGAGACUGCAGAUAUUCUGCGAUAUUUAUUACCCCGAAUAACUGAACUGCUGCAGGCAGUGGCUAUGUGCAUGAGCACAAUAAAUGAGAAUGUGAAAUUAAUUAACCUAAUCUUUGGAUUUUCUGCUGCUUCUUCUUCUUGUGCAGAUUAGUUUCAAAGAUUUGUUGAAUGGCAUAAAGAGCAGAAUUAACAGACCAAGAAGAAAAGCAUGAGCACUAAAUUUUCGGAAAUGAAGUAAGCAUUGAAAUGAUUGAAAAUGUAGUUAAAUCUUUUUUCAUAAAAUGUAGUUAAAUUUUGCACUAAGAAAUACAGGUAUUUUUUUUUUAUGGGUUGAAUUAAACAAAGCUGGGAAAAGUGGGCCUGAAAGAAUUUAUGCUCCUAUUUGAGUUAAAUUUAUGUAAAUCUUUACUUUAUUAGGGUUGUCGCAUUAACGCUUUUUUUAUUCUGAAUAAUUGUGUUUUUGUUCGCCGGGGUAGUUUUGUCUUAAGUUUUAAUUGGGCUUUAAAUUUAGAUUUAAUUAUUUCAAAGGCCCUGAGCUUUUAGGUGUUUUUCAAUUAUAAUGAGAUACGGUAUUAAUCAUCCAUCAAAUUUUUAGACAAUGAAUCUAAUGUGUUCGGAAAAUUAAUUAAUACACUGACAUUUUGUUUUUUGAAAAGUAGAUAUAAAAUUUUCAUUCAAAAUGUAGAGUACCAGACGUAGUCAAAAUAAAUAUCUCAAACAGUCUUGAUACCAAAAAAGAAGAAAGAAGAAACUAUAGAUCUAUUGGCAUACAGUCGAUAGGAUGUGAACUCUACUCAUGCAGAGAUGCUCAAAAAGAUGCUGGAUAGUGAGACUUUAACCAUUUCCAUGAGCAGAAUUUAAUACUCUCCACGAUGUUCUCAACGAUCGGUAUUGAGUUUUUGAAAAUCUUCUCAUUUCUCGCCUUCCAAAUUCUCCACACCACAUUGCCAUAUAAAGCCAAGAAUUUUAUUCUUCACUUUUCCCAAAUCAAAACUCACAAAAUCCCUGAGAUGUUAUUUCAAAACAGUCGCAUAAAACAAAUGAGCCAUUCACAUACCUUAGACCACACAAAGAGUGCCUCGUAACAGGUAAGAGGAACAUGUCACGAAGAUUCAUUUUGAGCCCAACACAUAGCACAGACACCGUCUUUUUGUGAGAGUAAAAUUCCUCUUUUAAUAAAGUUAUCCUUUGUUGGUAAUCUGCUUAGCAUUGCUUUUCAAACAAAAGCCAAAAUCUUCAACGAGAUGACUUUUCACCACAAUCUUGGCCAUUGAUCUGUAGCUUCUUCCUCACUUGGAGUUGCAUUUGCAAUGGUGAAAUACAGGUCCCUUGGAUGAAACAUCUCAUCGUUUGAAAUCGCCCAAAUUCGAGAAUCUGGUCGAUUGUGAUCGAACUCUAAUUUGCAAAUGCAAUUCCAAAGCUCCAAAAAGUCAUAAAAAUCAUAAGCAUUGAAGACACGAAGCUCCAUUAAACUGAAAGAACUCAUUCACACUACAAUGUUUCUACCUAGACAAAGCAUAUAAACCCCUAAACCUUUUGCACAGACUGCCGACUUGUUUCAGCCAUGGAUCUUCCUAAAAUUUAAUAGAAGACCCAUCACCCCAAGAAAUAUCAAUGUUAUUACAAAAAAAGACCCCCUCUUUACUUCUCAAUAAACUCAUCAAGUCUCUUCACCACUGCUAGGUCCGGAGGGUCUCGAAUAGGUGUAUGGGGGGGAAUACACCUAUAGGCCAUUUUUCGAAGAUCUCAAUACAGAGAUCAAAAACGAAACUACACACACAAACUCAGACACCUGUUUACUGAAAAGAGUUUUGACCAAAACAGGGUUGACGACUGAUACUUAAAGACUCUUCAGUAAUGAGUUAUCAAUUAAGUCACAGGAACUUAACUGAUGCACAUAAGGCUUCAGUCGAGUUUGAUAAACAGAGAUGUUAUAAAUCACACUGACUAUCAGAGGACAGAUCAUUCAGACUGAUAACACACGCAGCGGAAAAAUUUUGUUUCGCAAUAGCCUUUUGGGUUGAGCACGUUGUUAGUCUUAAGUUUCUCUUUGCAAUUAAUCAGUUUUCAGUUGAUGAGAGGAAGAGCACAAGUAAGAAAUUAAAUACUGAAAGCUGUAAAUAACACAGAGAUUUUUACGUGGUUCGAAAAAUACUUUCUACAUCCACGGUCGGUUGAUCAGACCAACAACUUCACUCUGUAAGUGCUUACGGGUGCACUGCAAACCGAUGUUCGUGCUUAUGGGUGCACAGCAAACCGAAACGUGUGCUUGCGGGUGCACACAACCGAAACAACUGAAGAUCCAAUCUUCAGUACCAACACACCUUGUUGGAUUUCUCACUCCUAGCACGAACUGGCACUAGGACCUCACGGAGACAGAGUACCUUCCUGAACUCAUUUGCAACUCAAACACUCGAUUCUAUCGGUCGAAUGGAGGUUUGAAAUCUUGUCAACUAAACUUCAAAGAACAAGUUCUUUGGAGUUAGUUUGACCUAGGCUUUGGAUAAACAAGGUUUGCCUAAGGUCUAAGAGAAUUUAUGUAAUCAGCAGUGACUGAUUUUUGGCUUUGGGAUUCUCUUCUUCGAUUCAAGCUUUGGGGAAUUUAAUCUUUGGCUGAGAAACAAUUUUGGCAGAGCUUCAGCUUAUGUUGUUGAAUCGGUGAAGAUUGAAGUGAUCCUCGAGCGCUACUUAUAGGAGAAGUCUUGAAUAGAUCCGUUGGCGGAGAAGGUCUUCAAGAUUUCUUCCGUUAGAGAGUAAUUUGAACUUGGGCUGAGGCUUCAAUCUUCGAGGUUCUUUGUUUGGUGAGAACGGCUACGUCUCUGAUAAAGUAGUCACCAAAUAUGAAUGACCUCUGCAGAGAAAGGACGAUCCUGAGAUCUCUGCAAUUAAUGCGGUUGUACUUCUGGAGUACGUGGAUUCCUUUGAACGUUGAAGGUUCAAUCCGAAGAAGAAUGUUUAACUGACUUGGCUUUAGUAUCAGUGCGCUGAUUCCACGUGGCUCGCAUUAAGUAAUCAAUUCAAGAUUGAUUCUUCGACUACUGCUUCAGUCGGCAACUUCAGUCCUUCGUUCUUCAGUCUUCAGUCUUCAGAACAACAACUAAACUAGAAAAAGAACUCUAACACUUGAGUUCGAUUAGUUCUAGUCUAUUACAAAUGAAACCUAUGGAUUUUGGUAUCAUCAAAACAAGGAUUAUGAUAUUCCAUUAAGUUCCCAACAACCACAAUGACAUGCUAUUAGACUCAACAUUAGACGCCCAAGCACUACUAAUGGGUCAAUAUCUUGAUUUGAGAAUCAAUAUCUAAAGCGACUCUUUCACCCGACAACAGUUUCCACAACCUCUCACGUUAAAAAUUCUAGUAUCUCUCACUCCUAAUCCCCCGACACUUCUACUUUUGCACACUUUGUCCCAUUUUGACCCAAUUAACUUUUUUAGGACUUUCUUCCCCCCCCUCCGGGCCCCCAUAAGAAAUCCCUCUGAAGCUUGGUUAAAGUUUUCAAAAUGCACACAGGAGCUUUAAAGAAGGAGAAGUGGUAGAGUGGAAGAGCAGCCAACACGGAAUUCAAAAGAACAAUCCUUCCUCCAAGAGAUAAGAACCUCUUUUCCCAUCCCAAGAGCUUCUUUUGGAAUUUGUCGAUGAGUGGUUUUCAAACUUUUUUUUUCCUAUGAUUCGCUCCAAUCGGUAAACCAAGAUAGGUGAAGGGCAGAUAUCCGAUUUUACACUGACAUUUUGUGUUGAAAUACUUGGACAAAAAUAUUUUCUUUAGAUGUGGUCUUGGGUACACCCGGGUUGACCAGUACCCAGAUCCUGACUCGUAUCCUGAUUCAAACCCGCAUCCUGACUCAAAUCGUGUAAAUGACACUAUUCGGUUAUACAAAUGACACUGAGUAUAAAUGACACUAUUCUGUUAUACAAAUGACACUGCCUGUAAUUGACACUAUUCUGUUAUACAAAUGACACUGCGUAUAAAUGACACUAUAACAUUAUAAAUGACAGUGUAUAUAAUUGACACUAUUUAGAAAUAUAAAUGAUAUUUCCUAUAAUUGACACUAUAAGAUUGUAAAUGACACUAAUAUUUUAAAUAACACUAUAAGAUUGAAAAUGACACUUUAACAUUUUAAAAUGUUACAGUGUCAUUUAUAUAAUUGAAUAGUGUCAAUUAUAAGCAGUGUCAUUUGUAUAAUUGAAUAGUAUCAUUUACACGAUUUGGGUCAGAAUGCGAAUUUGGAUUAGUAUGCGAGUCAGGAUUUGGGUGCGGGUGAAUGUAGGUGUACGAUACAUCCGAGUGUAGAGGAGAUUUUGUGUUUUUUAAACAUGUUUCGAUUAUUUCAAUUAGAAGUCUCUAAUUAUUGUAACUUCAACUGUUCAAUUAAGGAGACGAGAGUAUACGAAAUAACUAUUUUUUGAAAUACGAAAUAGUCCUUUGUAUACAGUUAUACAACAUAAGCAUUACUAUACAUUCAAUGUAAUUCUAUUUUUAUUCUUUAAAAAAAAUUAUUGUGUGUGUAUACGUAUCAUCAUUUUUUUAGACGGUAUACGUAUCAUCGUUAUUAUUACUUGAUAGAAUCCUAAUAUAUUUUCUAGUAUUUUUUUUAAGUCAGAAAAGCAUUAAUGGAUCUUUCUUAAUUACGUUAUCCAAGUGAGCAGGGUGGAAGUAAUAUUUGCCUUUAUAUGCCAUUAAUAAAUGCAUUUGUUUCUUGUGGUGCUCCAUUUAUUACCAAUUUGAACAAGCAAUUUACUGUACUCACUCUAUAAUAUGGACUAAUAUUUUAUUCUAUAUUUCUCGCACUAUUUGCACACUUAUGAGAUCAUGCAAAAACAGCUGAAGAUGAAAUGCCAUUCACAAAUAUAAGGAUGUCAUACAUUAAAUGCUACCUAUAAAUAACCCCCAAACAUAUAUACAUUUUUUAUGCAUGAAUAAAUAACCCCUCAAAGAAAAUAACAUUCUGUUCGAUUUUGUUGGUCCCAUGCUGUAAUUGAUAUGAAACCAGGGGGCUUAGCCCACUGGCCACCGGGUCCUCACUUAAGUGAAGUGACCCGGGUUCGAUCUCUCUUGGGAACGAAUUGGUGAUUGGAGAUAUAAGGUGGAGUUUGGUGAAUGGAGAGAUAAGGUGGUUCUUGGAGUGGAUGGGGAACUAACUACUAACAUUUAACAUGACUUUGACCGAUAAAAAAAAAAAAAAAUGCUGUAAUUGAUAUGAAGUAGACUUGGCGUUAAAAGUUACAAAGUUGCUUGAAAUCUAAGUAAACACGAUUGCAACAGCAUUAUAGAUUCAGUGGGUCCGUCAAAUAUGUCUAGAUUUAUUAAUGAAAUUACCAAAAAUAAUUACGUUCUAUGGCAGUAUCAUUUUAUUAUUUUCUCAUUCACCGUGGAGCUUUAAAUAAGUUUAACUAUUCGAACGUUGUUCAAGAUUUUGUUAUUUUAACAAUUAACUAUAAUUCCAGCCUCAAGCACAACACUUCUAGUAUUCAACUUAUUAUUAGUAAUUGACAAACUCAUUUGAUUUAUUUAGUAUAUAAUUUUUUCUCGGAUUGAUUGAGCUAGAGUUCUGUACAAACUUAGGGAUAUUCACAUCUUGUAAUGAUUGCGUUUGAAGACACGAAUCUAUAUGUGUUAUGCUUGGCAAUCGGUAAAUACGUCGUAUUUUUUGCCAUGGUAUUUUAAUUUAUAUAUUUUUGUUCAAAAUUCUAAAAUUUAUUUUGCAGUUAUUGGCAAUUGAUUUAUUCUUAUUCUUUUGAUAUUGAAGAAAUGCGUAGGUCGAAUAGUUACACUGCUUACGCCAAUUGGCGCACUUUAGUUUGGAGCGUGUGAUAUUGGCAAGCCGGAGUGGCCAUCAUUGCUGGGCCGACUCUCAAGUCUCACCCCUUUUCGGUGGGGUUGUCUAUCAUGCGCACAUGGUGUUCCACGACACGACGCUGCCGUCUGCAUUAAAUUUAACACAAAUUCUUGUGUGCACCUGGGUGCACGGUGCACCCGGGUCAAAUCUGAUCCAGAUCUGUAAACGAUAGAAUAUUUAUUAAAUGGUCUAGAGCAUUUACCAACUGAGCAAUUAGCUCAGCUGGUUCGGAUACAUUCUCAUAUUUUUGAGGUUGUGUGUUCGGUUCUUAGUAGCUGCAUUCUAGCGAUUUUAUUCUUCUACUUCCUUCUUUUCGUUCUUUUCAGUUUUCUUCUUAAUUUUUUUUUCGUUUUAUCUUUUUCUUUUUGUUCUUUUCUUUUCAUUUUUUUUUAUUCUUUCCAUUAUAUGGAAAUGACUCUAACACUAUUAUAUUAUAUAAAUAAUACUAUCAUGGUCCACAAAUAACACUAUAUAAAAAUGACAUUAACACUAUUAUGAAAAACAUGUUUCUAUUAUACAAAUGACACUAACACUAUAUAGUUCUACAAAUAACACUGUAUGAAAAUGACACUAACACUAUCAUAAAUGAUGCUAUAUAGUUUUACAAAUGACACUAACACUAUUAUAAAUGACACUAUUAUCUUAUAUAAAUAACACCAACACUAUUAUAUUUUACAAAUAGCACUAUAUAAAUGACACUAUCAUGUUAUAAAAAUAACACUAUAUAAAUGACACUAUCAUUUCAAAAUCUUAAAGUGUCAUUUUGAAAUGUUAAAGUGUCAUUUGAAAUAUUAAAGUUUUAUUCGUAAUGACGUAGUGUCAUUUCAAAAUCUUAAAGGUGUCAUUUCAAAUCUCAAAGUGUCAUUUUGAAAUGUUAAAGUGUAGUUACUAAUCUUAUAUUGUUGUUUGAAAUCUUAAAGUGUCAUUCCAAAUGUUUUAGUAUCAUUUGAAAUAUUAUAGUGUCAUUUCAAAUCAUGUAGUGUCAUUCGAAAUCUCAUAGUGUCAUUCGAAACGUUAUAGUGUCAUUCGAAAGGUUAUAGUGUCAUUCCAAAUCUUAUAGUGUCAUUCGAAAUCAUGUAGUUUCAUUUCAAAUGUUAUAGUGCAUUCGAAAUAUUAUAGUGUCAUUCGAAAUCUCAUAGUGUCAUUUAAAACAUCAUAGUGUCAUUCGAAACGUUAUAGUGUCGUUCCAAAUCUUGUAGUGUCAUUUGUAUGUCGGAGUAGUGUCAUUUGAAAUAUUAAAGUAUCAUUUAAAAUAUUGUAGUGUCAUUCGAAAUGUUAAAGUGUCAUUUGUAUAUCGGAGUAGUGCCAUUUGAAAUGUUAUAGUGUCAUUUGAAAUCUUGUAGUGUCAUUUAUAUGCCGGAGCGGUGUCAUUUGAAAUAUUAAAAUGUCAUUUAAAAUAUUAAAGUGUCAUUUAAAAUAUUGUAGUGUCAUUCGAAAUGUUAAAGUGUCAUUUGUAUAUCGAAGUAGUGUCAUUUAAAAUGUUAGUGUCAUUGAAAAUCUUAAAGUUUCAUUUCAAAAUGACAUAGUUUCUUUUGAAAUCUUGUAGUGUCAUUUGAAAUCUUGUUGUGUCAUUUGUAUAACAUGAUAUUGUCAUUUGAAAUGUUAUAGUGUCAUUUGAAAUGUUAUAAUGUCAUUUGAAAUCUUGUAAUGCUAUUUUGAAUGUUAAAGUGUCAUUUGAAAUGUUGUAGUGUCAGUUGAAUUGUAUAGUGUCAUUUGAAAUCUUAUAGUGUCAUUUGUAUAUCGGAGUAGUUUCAUUUAAAUUGUUAUUUGAAAUAUAAAUUAAAAGUGUCAUUCAAAUAUAAAUAUUGUAUCAUUUAUUAAUGUAGAUAGUGUAAUUUACUAAGAAAAAUAGCAUCAUUAUACAUAAAUUAAAAGUGUCUUUUAAAUAAAAAUAUAGUAUCAUUUACAAAGAAAAAUAGUGUCAUUUUUAAAUAUAUUAAAAGUGUCGUUUACUAAAAAAACUAGUGUCAUUUGGAUAUAUUAAAAGAAUCGUUUACUAAAAAAAAUAUUAAAAUAUUAUUUACUAAGAAAAAUAGUGUUAUUCAGAUAAAUUAACAGUGUCAUUUAAUAAGAAAAAUAAUAUCAUUUAUUAAAAAAAUAGCAUUAUUUAAUAAAAAAAUUAAUGUCAUUUUAAAAUAUAUUAAAAGUGUCAUUUACUAAAAAAAUAGUGUUAUUUAAAUAUAUUAAAAAUAUUAUUUGUAAUAUAAAUAUAGUACUCCCUCUGUCCCACUGUAUUUGAGAUUCUUUCUAUUUAAGGCGUCCUACUAUAAGUAAGACUCUUUCCUUUUUUGGUAAAGAUUUUACCCUUUAAACACAUUUUCACUUUUUCACCUACAAAUAAAAUACACUUUUUUUAAUUUUCGUGUCCAAAAAAAAAGUCUCACAUACAGUGGGACGGAGGGAGUAUCAUUUAUUAAGGUAGAUAAUGUUUUUUAUUAAGAAAAAUUGUGUCAAAGAAAAAAACGAAAAAAAGAUAGAGAAGAAAGGGAAAAAAAAUCAAUUUAAAACAGUGAAAAAUAGAGAGUAACUGGACGAAAAAAAGAAGAAGAAGAAAGAAAUCGAUUGAAACAAGAAAAAAAAAUGGAAGAAAAUUGUAGCAAUACAAAAUAAAUGAAUAAAAGGCGCUUGAGUGCGAUUAGUGAGAUUCGAACUCCCACCAUUCAAUUAGAGAAGUGAAAGCCCAGCCAGCUAAGCUAGUAAGCAAAUUAUUACAUAAUCCAUGCUUUUUAUAACUGAUGGUUUUUUGAGUUUUGAUGCGGGUUACUAUUUGGGUCAAGGUACAACCCACAAGACUGCCUCUAAAUUUAAUUGCUGCAGGCACUGCACAAUUAGAUUGUUAUCAUAUUAAUUUAAUUAUACAAAUCAUUUAAUUACUCUUUAAGCCACUUUAUCUUUUUUUCUCCUCAUGGGCACUGCACAUGGUAACUUACUAGCAUAUACCCACCCCAUUCUCAAAAACUAAAAACAAAAUAUACCUGCACAAAUUAAAAUAUAUAAAUAAUAUUCAUUUUUUACAGAGCUUGACAUUUUAUGCUAUUAAUGAAAAUAUAAUUAGAAAUAAAUGAUCUUUCUAAAUAAAAAAUCAUAUCGCCUGCGGCCUCUACCCAUAUCUCUUUAUCUCUCUCGACCCGCCACCUCCUUUCCCUCAGAUCGGUUUCUUUGAUGGCCUCCACCUCUCCGCUUUGCCUCGCCUGAUCGACGCAAUACGUCUCACUGAUAAACAUGCAUUUUUACCUCUUGGUGUGUCAUUUUUGAUGCUUAGUUGUGAGGAUUUUGUGUGUUUGAUGGUCUAUUUGAGCUUAUAUUCGUUUAUGGUCAAGAACUUGUUACUUGCUUGUGUUUGAACGAAUUUUUAGAAAUAAUGAAGCAGAAUUUGGAAGAAUUGGCUGAAAUAAAAGUUUUAUUUCGUCUCGAGAGGAGUUCGUGAGCGCAAACGGAUCAUAAAUCGGAGUUCGGACGAGGGAGAACGAGCCAAAACAAAAUCGCUUCGCAAAGUUGUCAGAAGUUUUGUUUCGUCACGCGGGCCAGCCAUGCGGCCGCGCGACGUGGCCGCGCGAGUCGCCGAGUUUUCGCCCAAAAGUCCGUUUUUCAGCCUUUUACACGAUUUUUGGGUAUUUUUGAGAGCUACAAGACCUAGGGCAUAUAAAUACUCCAAACUUAUUCAAACCUUUUCACUUUGUAUCAUAUUUUUACUUUUCCUGAGAGCUGGAGACGGAGAACGGAGAGAGCAAGAACUGAAGAUUCUCAAUUCUACUACGGUUUUAUUGUAAUGUUUUCGUUUUAUUGAGAUAUUGAUUCUAGUUCAUAUGUCUAUGUGUGGCUAGAAUCCUUUUCCCAGGGUUUAGGGAGUAGACAUGAUUUGAUUUCUGACUGUUUGAUUCAUUAAUUGAGAUUUUUUCCUUUUUAUGUUCUUGUUACAAUUGUUUGCUUUAUUGAUUGGCCACCAAUUUAGCAUAAUCAUAGGUUUUAAUUUGAGAUCGGGAGAUGAUAAUUAUUACCUGAACUAAGAACAUAGAACAAUUAUAUUUAAUUCUAAAGGGAAUUGAUAUGUGAGGGCGUUAAUCCUAGCUUUUAGGAGUUGCAUGUUAGAAGUGCGAUCCGGGGACGGUAGCCUUGCAUGUAAUCAACGGUUUGUAUGCCACGGGAGUGGGUAUAGACUAGUUUUGAGAUUGCCUUAGGAAUCAUCUUAUUAAUUGAAUUGAACAUGUUAGUUAGGAGAAUCUGUUGAAACCUUUCCUUGGGAAUCUUUCUUAUCUGUUUCUCCGUAUUUCCAGCUUGAUUUUUUUUUUCCUGUCAUUUUUAUUUAUUUAUUGUUUUAAAACAAAACUUCUAAUUCGUUUCCUAGAUAGAGAAUAAUAAUAGAUAGGAUUGGUUAUCAGUCUCUGUGGAAUCGACCUUGCUUGCUACUGUACACAAUUGCACGUACACUUGCGCGUGUAAAAUAAAAUAGCGAACUAAGUUUUUGGCGCCGUUGUCGGGGACUGUUUUAUCAGUACUAUCUGUGAUUGUUGAACUAAUCUGGUAUUUUUUUUGUGUUUAUUUUUAUUUAUGUUCUUCUUAUUUUUCUUUUGGUUUCUUUAUUUUUUGGUUCUUGGUAGUUUUUCAGGUAGUGCAUGAGCAGCUAUGGAGAUUUUGAUAGCUGGGCACUACAUGUUCAAUGGCCAGCCGAGAGGGUAUAUUUGGAGAAUGUUGCUGCCACCACAAAUUCCGAUUCAGUUACUUUGUUAGCCACUCAAAUCGCUGCAUGUCUUCCAAGAUAAAUGCUUUGUAUGCUAAGAUGGAGUCAGCUGUGAAAAAUCGAUGAUGAUGGAAGAGGCAAAUUUUGUCAGCAAUUGGAAUUUCAGGAAUUUUCAGCAGGGUGGAUUUCAAAGAGACACAGGGAACAAUCAGAGUUGGCAACAGUUAUCAUGGAGGGUCCCGAAUAACGCGCUUCAGCUCCACCAGGCUUCUCUUCCCAAUGAGUCAUCAAUGAGAGAAGAAGCCUAAUUUGGAAGAGCUCUGAUGAAAUUUAUCUCCAAGUCGGAUGAGAGGAUGGAGAAGCUUGAGUCUACCACUGCUGCUUUAGGGACCCGGAUGAAGGUGUUUGAGACUCAGAUGACUCAAGUGACCACUGCUAUUAGCAAUUAUAUCAGUCGGGCCAAUUCUCAAGCAAUACUGUGGUGAGUCCAAAAGAGCAGUGUAUGACCGAUGAGCUCGAAUGUGAUACUUCAUAUGAAGAGCCUCAAGCGAUAGAAGAAGAGCAAGAAGUUCGAAAAGUUGAGAUGAGCUUGGAGGAUGAAAAUUUUAAAAGUGUUGAAGAGCGCAAUGUCCAAAUGUAGUGACACUUCAUCGACCAGGGAAAUCAUUGAAGGCUUGUCUCUUUAGCUUUUAUCUAACUCCAUCUUUUGAUUUUAAUUUUGAUUCAUCUGAUGAAACUUUUUGGAGUGUGGUAGUACUUUUGAUUGUUCCAGGAUGACCAUAGUUUUCAAGAAUUUUGAAGGUUGGAAAACACCUUAUCAUUGGUUCGCAAAGAUGAUGUACUCAAAUUUGAUGAAAAGUGGCCCCACCUACCUGCUGGAUCGUCGAGCUACGACGUUAAAAAUGCGCUUAUGGAGCAACCAAUUUUGGUUAGUUCGUUUCUUUUCGUUUGUGUUUAUUUUUUGUCCCCACUAAUCCUUUUCAAACUUAUUUCCUGUGGUUGAAUAAGUUUGGGGGAUGUGUCUUCGUGGGUGCACUUUUUGUUUUGGUUGUUUUUGUUCUGUCGUUAAGUUUUCUUAGUCUUGCUUUGGUGGUUCUCUCUGUGAUUUUACCUUGAUGAUGAUGUGAGUAGUGUAGAGAUUGGUUGGAUAACUGGUUCAUGAUGAUUUCUGUUUAAAACUUAUGGAAUUGCAUUCGUUUGAGUUGAUAUUGUUGUGAUUGAGCAUGAGUGAUGAAUGAUAAGCGUGGUCUCUAUGUGUUUGCAAUCAAUGAAAUAAGCUGUGAGGAUUUGAGCAUUGACUGUCAUUAUUUUACAGUCUUAUUUUUUAUUCUUGAGUGAUUGUUCGAGCAUGCAUGUUUCUCACUAGAACUUAUCUUGGUUUCUCCCUCGAGGGCACAUAGUGUGCUUAAUAACUUUGAGAUCAUAGAAGGCCAUCUUUGCUAGCCUAUAUAUCCCAUAUUUGUCCUUUUACUAUAUAUGAUCCUAGUUCGCCCCCUUUGAGCCUUAUUUUCCAUUUUAUUUGAUUUAGCCGUGGGUGGGAACUUGGAGAUUGUUGAUGUGGGGUAGUUGGUUUGUGGAGAUGUGUAAUUAUGAAUUAUGAAUUUUAUUACUUGAUUGGUAAAAAUUCCAAUACCCUGAACUUAGUUUGAAAAAAAAGAAAAAAAAAAGAGAGAACAAAAGAAUUGAAAAAUGGGUACAUAGGAUGCAUUAGAGAGACAUAAUGUCAUGAGAAAUAAUUGUUGAGUUGUGAUAGUUCUUGCCUUCAAAAAUUUGGUUUUGUGAGAGGUGAAAGAUAGAAUUGAGUAAGAAUGCUAUAAAGUUGGUGAUUGAGCUACAUUGAGCCGUAUCUUUUAGUCACUUAGUCAAAUACAUCCUACCUAACCAAAGAGCCUACAUUACAACCCUCAAUAAAGACCUUUUUGAUCUUGGUUAUAGGAGCACACAUUAAGUGGUGGAGAGGUGAGACGAUUGACAAGCUUAUGGUUGAGUACUUGUUUUGCUUGAACUGAGCGUAUACACGUCCAUGUUGAUUUACACACUUGAGAGUUGAGAGUUCUUAAAUUCUUUAUCUUUUUGGUGAGGAUUGCAAUUCAUUGAGACCAUAUUUUGAGUUUGUCAUGAGUGUGAUAUCUUGAUGAUAAGAGAUACAAAUGCAUGUCGUUAUUUUUGUUGACAAAUCUGAAGUCACAAUGUUAUCCACUUGUCUCUGCGCUCUUUGUGAUUCAUUCUUGGUUCAUCUUUGUUUUGUCCGAGAACGGACAAUAGUUCAAGUUUGGGGGAUUGAUAAACAUGCAUUUUUACCUCUUAGUGUGUCAUAUUUGAUGUUUAGUUGUCAGGAUUUUGUGUGUUUGAUGGUUUAUUUGAGCUUAUUUAGUUUAUGGUCAAGAACUUGUCACUUGCUUGUUGUUUGAACGAAUUUUCAGAAAUAAUGAAGCAGAAUUUGAAAGAAUUAACUGAAAUAUAAGUUGUAGUUCGUCUCGAGAGAAAUUCGAGAGCACAAACGGAUCAUAAAUCGGAGUUCGAACGAGGGAGAACGAGCAAAAACAAAAUUGCUGCGCAAAGCUGUCAGAAUCUCGUGGCGCCUCAUGCGGGCUGGGCGCGCGGCCGUGCCUCGGGCCGCGUGACAGCACAGUUUUUGCGCGAUUUUUCCAUUAUUUCAGCUAUUUUUCGAUCCUACACGGGUUUGACCUAUAUUUUGAGACCUAGGGCAUAUAAAUACUCCCCAGAAACAUAUCAGCUCUCAGCUUAUAUGAUUAAGGAGUUGAUUAGGGGCUUUAUUUACUUUCAAUUCUCAACUCUCUCUCUCAUUUUUUCGACCACCACUGCCGACCACCACCACCACCGCGGUCGCUGACCACUGACGAAGCCGUCGUUUGAGCUUCACGCAAAUAAAUGUAUCCUAUGCCCACAACUAGGUUAGCUAGCAGUAAGUUCAGAGUCGAAUCCACAGGAAACUCAUGAGUGUAAUCACUCCUGCAAGGGUGUCACUAAAAAGGGUUUUGUUUCUGAUUGUUCUGACCACAACUCGCUUAUGGGCAGAACGAGGUUUUGGACCAAACUGAAAUAACAAAAGUAACUUGAUCAAAUAACAAAAUAAUUAUGAUUUAGGUUUGACUCGCUAAAUAUGAACUAGACACUCGGUCAUUGGUGCAAAGAUAUUUUACUACACUCGCAUACCAGUUGGUUAUAGGCAAAAGACAGCUACGCCCUCAUUGUCACGCGUCACGCACAUAACAGCCCUCUGCCCAAUCUAUCUUUUAAGUGUAUAAUCCCUUAGAAGUUAUCAGCUAAUGUGAGUUAACUAACCCAGGAAACAUCCACUCUCUAUGUUGGCCUCUCGCUAAGAGUGUUUUGCCCAAGAUGCAUUAGGAUUUCAAUAGACCCAACUUGACUCUUAUGUGGAGUAUUUCACCACAGCCACGCUCCAACACUCAUCGUACUCUUUGGAGGUCGAUGACGUGUCGCCUUUGCCCAAAGUUUACUUGUGGUCAAAACUCCCUAGUUAACUAGUAUCAAUUAAUUAACCAAGUUGCCCAAACCUAUUUGAUCAGACCUAGUUAUCGAAUAUCUCAUGCAUUAUUAUGCCCAAAUUAGACCUCGAUUAAGUGUUCAUGCUUAGCUUAUCUCCCCAAAUCAAAUAUAAAUUAGCUAGACAUAAAAUAAAUAACAAAGGUAAAAGACAUAAUAGAAAACAUAAAGUAAAAACUGAAAUAGAAACUUACUUAAGGCAAAGAGUACUUACGGCCAAAAGUGCCGCAGAAACAUGAAAGAAAAUAAACUAUGCCCAUAAGAGGCGAUGCUCCUCAACUCUGGAAAGUAAAACUACAGCAGUGGUCUCUGAAAAUUCGUCCUCCUUGGGUUGUCCUCUCAACCCUUGAAUGGUUCACAGCUAUGUGGUAUUUAUAGACAUGAGUUAGGGCUACGUAGGGCUCGGCCCAAAAUGAGUGGGCUGGAAUUAGAGCUUCUUCUGCCAGAGAUUGCAUCCAGGUCAGCAGACUGAUUUGUUCUUUUCCAAACCUCAAGGGAUAAGGUUUUUGGAUUUCUUUCCUUAUCUACAUCUUCUUAUUAGAUUGUGUCUUUGCCCUCAACACGAAUUUAUGUACUUCAUCUCUUGCACUCUUCUUCUCUGCCCCGUACGUACCUUCUGCACUCGAUCAUCUUCUAAUGCAACUGGAUUCCAUGCGGUGCUUAUGGGCAAAGCGUUAUGUUGACUUGAGCAACUCCAAACUUCAUCUAAGAUUUUGUAACAUGUUGCUUCAAGCUUCAAUUGGCUUUGUAUUUGUGCUCAUACUUCUUCCCCGAAUCGAAGUUGCAUUAUGCCCAAGACCUUCUUCCGGUGCAACUGGAUCCCGAGCAGUACUUAUGGGCAAAUGGUCGGUUUGCCCAACUUCUUGCUUUUAAACUUUUGGUCUUCAAAACAAGCUUUUGAGUGUCCCAAACUCUUCUGCUUUAAACCCAUGCCUCUUUCGCAAAAUAUUGCAGCAGCAUUAUGCCUUAAGUAAAAAAGAACUAUGCCCUUCUUCUGCCCAAGAAGCAGCUCUCUUCCGAACUAUGCCCUCCCAGGCACAAGACACUAACAAAACAAAGAAAAAAGAGACUUGAUCUAGACCUAAAAUAGACAAAAAAAACAAGCACAAAUAUGGGCUCAUCAACCACCGCCACCGCCGCUGAUUCCCUCUGCUAUGCCGCUGAAAAUUGAACCCAGAAAAUCAAAACUAGAAAUUACAAAUUAUCCAAAAAAUUUAGCACAAAAAACUUAUUCAAAAUUAGCAUCAAAAUUGCAAACGAAAACUAUUCUCAUUUCAAAACAAAAAUUGGUAGAAACAGGAAGAAUGACGGCGGAGAUGGAGGGUUUUAGAAGGAGGGUGGUGGCCUCACCGCUGCGGCGGUCGGAGAAGGAGAAAGACAGAGGGUGAGAUGAGGGUGAAUACCGCCGGCCUUCGUAGGGCGGUGCCGUGGUCAGGGCAGCAGCGGCGCUAUGGUCAAGGUGGCAACGGCGCCAAGAGAGCCGAGAGAGAGGAUGGGUGAGAACAAAAAUCUUAAACAAAAAGCUGCACAAAUCUGAAAUCAAAUUGAAAUCAAAAUUGACUCACGCCCAGAAAACCCAGAAAAUCAAACUCAAAAUCGGAGAGAAAGAGGGGUGUUUGGCGGGGCUAGGGCUCGGCCCUCUGCCCCCGUCAGUGUGUGUGUGAGGCGAGGGGUGUUCGGUAGUCGGAGGUUCACCGGAGGGGCGAGGGGUGCUCGCCGGUGGCCGUGGCUCACCGGCGGCAACUUGGCCGAGAAGGGGAUGAGAGAAGGAGGGAUGUGAAGCCGAUUUCAGGUGGGGGAGGCCGAGGAAGUGCGAGUACAUGCAUCUCGAUAGGGAGAGAUCGAUCUUGGUGGCGAAAUCGAGGGAGUUUGAGGGGGGAUUCGAGAUCGGAUUGUCGAGGGGGGAGGCAGAGAUGGAGGUUUUCGAGUCCGCGUUUCAUCGAGGACUCGAAGAAAUCUUGAAGAUGUAAUUAAUGAUGGUAGCUAGUGUUUCAUCUCUUAUUCCGUUGAAUUAAUUCUAUUGUUGGGUGGUUUUCAUGAUCACUUGAUAUGGUAUAUGAAUAAGAUUAUGGAAUAGAGGAUCUCGUCAUCCGUUAAAACUAUCGUACGUUGUUGUAGAAUUUGUGUUUUCCAUAUUAAUCCCACAUUUCAUGUGUGCUAACAUGUAUCCCACUACUUAAACUUGUUAUUCCAAGUAAAAUAUUCCUUCGUCCACGAAAAACAAGACCUAACUUAAAGAAGAAGAGUGGUACAAAUUAUAAGAAAAUCUGUAUUGAUUUUUUAAUGAGGGAAGAAAGGAGUUCACAAAUUAAGAAAAUAGAAAAAAGUUAAUUAAACUAAUGAACAGAGAAAUGAGCUCACAACUUAAUGACUGCAGAAAGGGCUCACAAAUUAAUUAAAUCAUAAUUAAAAGUAUGUUAUGAUAUAUUUAAGUAGACGAUGAAAAUAAAAAAUUAAGUUUUAUUUUCGUGAAUGGAGAGAGCAAUAUUUUAAGAGAAGUGCUAUUUGGACAAAAUGAUUAUUUUAAUAUUUUCCCAUGUGUUUUUUUGGAUUCAUUUCUUCAUUCUUUUAUAGAUUGUUAUCUAUUAGAUAUUUAUUUUUCACUGCAAAUGUCUAUGUCUGUUUUAAAGUUAAACAUAAUUAAUAUUGUAGUAAAACCACUAAUAAACUUAAAGAGAAUACCUUGCAUGCUUUUUUACCACAUCAGAUUCUUCCUAUAGUGUUCUAUGUACUUAUCUUCACGCUUGCAUUGGUUGCACCUUAAAGCUCUUAGCCGAGUCUCAUACUCAUCUCUAAAUAUUUUUGUUUUGCACUUUGUAUUUUUAGCCACAAAAUAUCAUAUUUUUUCAUACUACUUGUCAAAUCUUAAGUACUCCCUCCGUCCCAUAAAUUUUGACACGUUUGGUUUCGACACGAGAAUUAAGGAGUUGUGAAUUAGUGAUUUAAGUGUGUAGGUAAUAAAGUAUAAAAUGGAUAAAGUAGAGAGAUAAGGUAAUUAAUAAAGUGAUAAAGUAUGAGAGAAAUUUAAUUAAGACCCCUUAUUUUUGAACUAAUUAUUACCUUAUUUGGAAAUGUGUCAAGAUUCGUGGGACGGAGGGAUUAUCAUAUAUUGACCCAUCCACUAAGAUGCAAUUAUACGAACAUUGAAAUUAAUAUCAAUUUNUUUUUUUCUUUUUCAAAUUGAUAUUAAUUUCAAUGUUCGUAUAAUUGCAUCUUAGUGGAUGGGUCAAUAUAUGAUAAUCCCUCCGUCCCACGAAUCUUGACACAUUUCCAAAUAAGGUAAUAAUUAGUUCAAAACUAAGGGGUCUUAAUUAAAUUUUCUCUCAUACUUUAUCACUUUAUUACCUUAUCUCUCUACUUUAUCCAUUUUAUACUUUAUUACCUACACACUUAAAUCACUAAUUCACAACUCCUUAAUUCUCGUGUCGAAACCAAACGUGUCAAAAAUAAGGGGUCUUAAUUUGUGGGAUGAAGGGAGUACUUAAGAUUUGACAAGUAGUAUGAAAAAAUAUGAUAUUUUGUGGCUAAAAAUACAAAGUGCAAAACAAAAAUAUUUAGAGAUGAGUAUGAGACUCGGCUAAGAGCUUUAAGGUGCAACCAAUGCAAGCGUGAAGAUAAGUACAUAGAACACUAUAGGAAGAAUAUGAUGUUGUAAAAAGCAUGCAAGGUAUUCUCUUUAAGUUUAUUAGUGGUUUUACUACAAUAUUAAUUGUGUUAAUAUAUAAUAGUACCACUUUUAUAUAGUAAAAUAAAUUUACCCACUCAAUAAAACAUAAAAAUACCACUUUUUUUGUUAAGGACUAAUUACCCUUCUAUAUAAAUGGGCAAACCCUAAUUUCAUUUCAUUCUCUCAUUUCUCUCUCUCUCUCUCUCUCUUCUCUCUCUCUCUACCCGCUCUCUCAUCUCUCUCUCUCUCUCUCUCUCUUUCUCUCUCUCUCUCUGGCGAUUGAGGCGGCGGAUCGAAUGGAGCACGGCGGUGGCGGCCGAGGGCGGCCAUUGAGGCGGCGGAUCGACUGGAGCACAGCGGUGGCGGUCGAGGACGGCCAUGGCGACAUCGGCGUUGCCGCCGCGCGUUCCUCUCCUCAUCUCCAAUCUCGGCGUUGCCGCCGCGCGGUCUCUCUUUCCUUCUUCCUCUGUCUACACGCACCUCCGCCGCUGUCCGCCCCCUCGCCGCGGUCGAGGCUCCGGAGAAGGUCAUCGAUCUCGGCGAUCAGAUCUCGAGCCUCACCAUCGCCGCCUCGCUCUUUCUCUUCUCUCUCUCUCAUUUUUCUCUCAUCUGGUCUCUGAUCUAUCAGUAGCAGCAGCGAAGGCGGCGCCGCCUCUUCCUCUCUACUCUUCUCCAAAUUUGAAGCUUUAAUUUUGUGAUAAUUUUUCAUUUGAAUUUAGGGAUCAAGUUUGAAUUUUGAUGAAGCUUUGUUCUAGAAUGAAUUUUGAAUUUAGGGAUGAAUUUAGAGAUGAAUUUUGAUGCCGAUGAGAAUGAUUGCCGAUGAGAAUGAUUGGAAUGAAUUUCUGCAGAUUGGAUAAAUUUCUCCCUAAUUCAAUUGAAUGUAAUCGAAAAAACAUAAAAGUAACGAAGAAAUUGAUGAAAAUCGCGCAAUUUUGUACAAAUGUUCUUGAAUUCACAACCAGGUUUAUGAAUUCACAACUGAAUUAUCAGCGUUGGUUGUGAAUUCACAAUUGAAAUAGUGUUGGUUGUGAAUUCACAAUUUGAAAUAAUGUUGAUUGUGAAUUCAAAUUUUAUCGGUUGUGAAUUCACAACUCGAAAUAAAGUCGGUUGUGAAUUCACGUGAAUUCUCAACCAACACUUGUUAUUCACAACCAAUACUUGAAUUUAGUUGUGAAUUCGAGUUGAAUUCACAACCAGUGAACAGUGGGUAUUUGUAAAAUUUUAUAUGUAAGGGUAAAAUGGUAAAUAUGAGUAUUUUUUUAAGUUUUUAUAUUAGUGGGUAAAAUUUAUUUUUACUAUAUAAAAGUGGCUAUUUUCAAAAUCCACUCAUAUUAAUUAUGUUUAACUUUAAAACAGACAUAGACAUUUGCAGUGAAAAAUAAAUAUCUAAUAGAUAACAAUCUAUAAAAGAAUGAAGAAAUGAAUCCAAAAAAACACAUGGGAAAAUAUUAAAAUAAUCAUUUUUUCCAAAUAGCACUACUCUUAAAAUAUAGCUUUCUCCAUUCACGAAAAUAAAACUUAAUUUUUUAUUUUCAUCGUCUACUUAAAUAUAUCAUAACAUACUUUUAAUUACGAUUUAAUUAAUUUGUGAGCCCUUUCUGCAGUCAUUAAGUUGUGAGCUCAUUUCUCUGUUCAUUAGUUUAAUUAAUUUUUUUCAAUUUUCUUAAUUUGUGAACUCCUUUCUUCCCUCAUUAAAAAAUCAAUACAGAUUUUCUUAUAAUUUGUACCACUCUUCUUCUUUAAGUUAGGUCUUGUUUUUCGUGGACGAAGGAAUAUUUUACUUGGAAUAACAAGUUUAAGUAGUGGGAUACAUGUUAGCACACAUGAAAUGUGUGGUUAAUAUGGAAAACACAAAUUCUACUAGUACGAUAGUUUUAACGGAUGACGAGAUCCUCUAUUCCAUAAUCUUAUUCAUAUACCAUAUCAAGUGAUCAUGAAAACCACCCAAUAAUAGAAAUUAAUUCAACGGAAUAAGAGAUGAAACACUAGCUACCAUAAUUAAUUACAUCUUCAAGAUUUCUUCGAGUCCUCGAUGAAACGCGGACUCGAAAACCUCCAUCUCCGCCUCCCCCCUCGACAAUCCGAUCUCGAAUCCCCCCUCAAACUCCCUCGAUUUCGCCACCGAGAUCGAUCUCUCCCUAUCGAGAUGCACGUACUCGCACUUCCUUGGCCUCCCGCACCCGAAAUCGGCUUCACAUCCCUCCUUCUCUCAUCCCCUUCUCGGCCAAGUUGCCGCCGGCGAGCCACGGCUACCAGCGAGCACCCCUCGCCCCUCCGGUGAACCUCCGACCACCGAACGCCCCUCGCCUCACACACACACUGACGGGGGCAGAGGGCCGAGCCCUAGCCCCACCAAACACCCCUCUUUCUCUCCGAUUUUGAGUUUGAUUUUCUGGGUUUUCUGGGCGUGAGUCAAUUUUGAUUUCAAUUUGAUUUCAGAUUUGUGCAGCUUUUUAUUUAAGAUUUUUGUUCUCACUCAUCCUCUCUCUCGGCUCUCUUGGCGCCGUUGCCGCCUUGAUCAUAGCGCUGCUGCUGCCCUGACCACGGCACCGCCCUACGAAGGCCGGCGGUAUCCACCCUUAUCUCACCCUCCCUCUUUCUCUCUCGUUUGGAAAUAGGGCGAGCGCCUCCCUUCUUCUAAAACCGCCGCCCAUCCCCCUCUGUUCUCCUUCUCCGACCGCCGCAGCGGUGAGGCCACCACCCUCCUUCUGAAACCCUCCAUCUCCGCCGUCAUUCUUCCUCUUUCUACCAAUUUUUGUUUUGGAAUGAGAAUAGUUUUCGUUUGCAAUUUUGAUGCUAAUUUUGAAUCAGUUUUUUGUGCUAAAUUUUUUUGAUAAUUUGUAAUUUCUAGUUUUGAUUUUCUGGGUUCAAUUUUCAGCGGCAUAGCAGAGGGAAUCAGCGGCGGUGGCGGUGGUUGAUGAGCCCAUGUUUGUGCUUGUUUUUAGGUCUAUUUUAGGUCUAGAUCGAGUCUAUUUUUUUCUUUGUUUUGUUAGUGUCUUGUGCCUGGGAGGGCAUAGUUCGAAAGAGAGCUGCUUCUUGGGCAGAAGAAGGGCAUAGUUCUUUUUUUCUUAAGGCAUAAUGCUGCUGCAAUAUUUCGCGAAAGAGGCAUGGGUUUAAAGCAGAAGAGUUUGGGACACUCUAAAGCUUGUUUUGAAGACCAAAAGUUUGAAAAACAAGAAGUUGGGCAAACUGACCAUUUGCCCAUAAGUACUGCGCGGGAUUCAGUUGCACCGGAAGAAGGUCUUGGGUAUAAUGCGACUUCGAUUCGGGGAAGAAGUAUGAGCACAAAUACGAAGCCAAUUGGAGCUUGAAGCAACAUGUUACAAAAUCUUAGAUGAAGUUUGGAGUUGCUCAAGUCAACAUAGCGCUUUGCCCAUAAGCACCGCAUGGAAUCCAGUUGCAUUAGAAGAUGAUCGAGUGCAGAAGGUACAUACGGGGCAGAGAAGAAGAGUAUAAGAGAUGAAGUACAUAAAUUCGUGUUGAGGGCAAAGGCACAAUCUAAUAAGAAGAUGUAGAUAAAGAAAGAAAUCCAAAAACCUUAUCCCUUGAGGUUUGGAUAAGAACAAAUCAGCCUGCUGACCUGGAUGCAAUCUCUGGCAGAAGUAGCCCUAAUUCCAGCCCACUCAUUUUGGGCCGAGCCCUACGUAGCCCUAACUUAUGUCUAUAAAUACCACAUAGCUAUGAACCAUUCAAGGGUUGAGAGGACACCCCAAGGAGGACGAAUUUUCAGAGACCACUGCUGUAGUUUUACUUUCCAGAGUUUGUUAGGAGCAGUCGCCUCUUAUGGGCAUAGCUAUUUAAUUUUCUGUUCAUGUUUUCUACGACACUUUUGGCCGUAAGUACCCUUUGCCUUAAGUAAAUUUCUAUUUAAGUUUUUACUUUAUGUUUUCUAUUAUGUCUUUUACCUUUGUUAUUUAUUUUAUGUCUAGCUAAUUUUAUAUUCUGAUUUGGGUGAGAUAAGCUAAGCAUGAACACUUAACUCGGGAGGUCUAAUUUGGGCAUAAUAACUGCAUGAGUAUAUUCCCGAUACACUAGGUCUGAUUCAAAUACGGUUUGGGCAACUUGGUUAAUUAAUUGAUCACUAGUUAACUAGGGAGUUUUGGCCACAAGUAAACUUUGGACAAAGGUGACACGUCAUCGACCUCCAAAGAGUACGACGACUGUUGGAGUUGUGGCUGUGGUGAAAUACUCCACAUAAGAGUCAAGUUGGGUCUAUCGAAAUCCUAAUGUAUCUUGGGCAAAGCACUCUUAGCGAGAGGCCAACGUAGAGAGUGGAUGUUUCCUGAGGUAGUUAACUCACAUUAGCUGAUAACUUCUAAGGGAUUAUACACUUAAAAGAUAGAUUGGGCAGAGAGCUGUUACGUGCGUGACGCGUGACAAUGGGGGCGUAGCUGUCUUUUGCCUAUAACCAACUGGUAUGCGAGUGUAGUAAAAUAUCUUUGCACCAAUGACCGAGUGUUUAGUUCAUGUUUAGCGAGUCAAACCUAAAUCAUAAUUAUUUUGUUAUUUGAACAAGUUACUUUUGUUAUUUCAGUUUGGUCCGAAACCCCGUUCUGCCCAUAAGCGAGUUGUGGUCAGAACAAUCAGAAACAAAACCCUUUUUAGUGACACCCUUGCAGGAGAGAUUACACUCAUGAGUUUCCUGUGGAUUCGACUCUGGACUUACUGCUAGCUAAUCUAGUUGUGGGCACAUGAUAAAUUUAUUUGCAUGAAGCUCAAACGACGGCUUCGUCAGUGGUCAGCGACCGCGAUGGUGGUGGUCGAAAAAAUGAGAGAGAGGGUUGAGAAUUGAAAGUAAAUAAAGCCCCUAAUCAACUCCUUAAUCAAAUACACUAAUGAUGUGGGCCACAACACUUUAUUUCUUAAACUACCUCACUUUAUAUGCCCUAGUGUCUCAAAAUUGGCAAGUUAGGUCGAAAUACAUAUGAUAUGGAAAAUCGCGCAAAAACUGUGCUGUCACGCGGCCGAGGCACGGCCGCGCGCCCAGCCAUGAGGCCAAUUCUGAACUUAGAUUGUUAACACUACAAGAAAAACGCUCAUACAUGACGGCUAAAAACCGUGAUCUAUGCCCUUCCAGAACCGUCAAGUAUAGUGGUGUCAAGAAUAGUCCCUAGUAUAGAUGACGGUUAAUAACCGUCAUGUAUGAUCACUUUUCUUGACGGUUCUGUAUCUAUACUUGACGGUUUGAAACCGUCAAGUAUUGUACAAUACAUGACACUCAUAUUUUUUUCUUGACGUCUUUCUGACCGUCAUGUAAAAUCAAAAACAUGACAGUAUGUUUGUCAUACUUGACACUUUAUAAGCGUCAUGUAUAUUGACAUAUACGACAAUUUAGGUAUAUAUAUGACUGUUGAAAACCGUCAUCUAUGCUUUUUUCAAAAUUUAAAUAUAAUAUUUCCUAUUAUAUUUACUUUUUCCUGUUUUUAUAUUUAUAAAUAUGAAUACAUUGUACUAUUAAAUAACAAACUAACACAUACUGAAAUGCUCAUUUAACAUUGAUAACAACUAAUAAUCCAACAUCCACAAAACAAGAUCCUUGUUUUUCUUUUUGUUGUCCCACUUUAAUGUCUUUUUUAAAAGCUACACCAUAAUAGUAUUUUUCAUAUGACAAUCCUACAACAUCUAAAAAAGCUGCACCAUAAUAGGACCAGCCACCACUCCUGGAUUCAGCACGACUAUGUCCACGCUAUUUUCCUCCGCAAAUUGCCAUGCAGAUUUCUCAGCAACCGCUUUAGACACAGAAUACAAAAAUUAACAACACAACAAANAAAUUCUUGAAAACUAUGGCCAUCCUGUGAACAAUCAAAAGUACUACCACACUCCAAAAAGUGUUCAUCAGAUGAAUCAAAAUUAAAAUCAAAAUAUGGAGUUAGAUAAAAGACUAAAGAGACAAGCCUUCAUUGUAUUUCCUUUGGUCGAUGCAAGUGUCAACUACAUUUUGGACAUCGCGCUCUUCAACACUUUAAAAUUUUUCUAUCCUUCAAGCUCAUCUCAACUUUCAGAACUUCUUGUUCUUCUUCCAUCGGUUGAGGCUCUUCAUAUGAUGUAUCACAUUCAAGCUCAUUGGUCAUACACUGCUCUUUUGGAUUCACCACGGUAUUGCUUGGGAAUUGGUGCGACUGAUCUAGAUUGCUAAUAGCAGUGACUAUUUGAGCUAUCUGAGUCUCAAACACCUUCAUCUGAGUCCCUAAAGCAGCAGUGGUAGACUCAAGCUUCUCCAUCCUCUCAUCUGACUUGGAGAUAAAUUUCAUCAGCAGCUCUUCCAAAUUAGGCUUCUUCUCCUCAUUGAUGACUCCAUUGGUGACAGAGAAGCCUGGUGGAGCCUGAAGCGCGUUAUUCGGGCACCCUCCAUGAUAGAGCUGUUGCCAACUCUGAUUGUUUCCCUGUUGUACUCUUUGAAAUCCACCCUGCUGAAAAUUCCUGAAAUUCCAAUUGCUGAUAAAAUUUGCCUCUUCCAUCAUCAUCGGAUUUUUCACAGCUGACUCCAUCUUAGCAAUACUCAAAGCAUUUAUCUUGGAAGACAAUGCAGCGAUUUGAAAGGCUAACAAAGUAACUGAAUCAGAAUUUGUGGUGGCAGCAACAUUCUCCAAAUAUACCUUCCCGGCUGGCCAUUGAUAGCAUGUAGUGCCCAUGCUAUCAAAAAUCUCCAUAGCUGCUCAUGCACUACCUGUAAAAACUCCAGAACUAAAAAAAUAAGAACCAAAAGAAAAAUAGAGAAAAUAAAUAGAAAUAACAAAAAAAAUCCAGAUUAGUAUCAAAUAAUCAACAGAUAGUACUGAUAAAAAUCAGUCCCCGGCAACGGCGCCAAAAACUUGUUCGCUAUUUUAUUAACACGCCGCAAGUGUACGGGUGCAAUUGUGUACAGUAGCAAGCAAGGUCGUAUUCCACAGAGACUGAAUUUACCAAUUCCUAUCCUAAAUUAUUCUACUCUAUCUGGACAAACGAAAUUGAGUGUUUUGUUGUAAAAAACAAAAUAAAUAAACAGCAGGAAAGAAAAUAAAGCAAGCUGCGAAACAGAUAAACAGAUAAGAGGAGAUUUCCCAAGGCAAAGGUUUCAACAGAUUCUCCUAACUAACAUGUUCAAUUCAAUUAAUAAGAUGAUUCCUAAGGCAAUCUCUAAGCUAGUUCAUACCCACUCCUGUGGCAUACAAACCGUUGAUUACAUGCAAGGCUACCAUCCCUGGAUCGCACUUCUAACAUGGAACUCCUAAAAGUUCCUAGGAUUAACGCCCUCACAAAUAUCAAUUCCCUUUAGAAUUAAAUAUAUGUGUUCUAUGUUCUUAGUUCAGGUAAUAAUUAUCAUCUCCCGAUAUCAAAUUGAAACCUAUGAUUAUGCUAAAUUGGUCGCCAAUCAAUAAAGAAAACAAUUAUAACAAGAACAUAAAAAGGAAUAACAAUCUCAAUUAAUUGAAUCAAACAGUCAGAAAUUCAAAUCAUGUCUACUCCCUAAACCCUGGGAAAAAGGGAUUCUAGCCACACAUAGACAUAUGAACUAGAAUACAAUUCUCAAUAAAACAAAUAAACAUCCACAAGAAAAACCGUAGUAGAAUUGAGAAUCUUCAGUUCUUGCUCUCGCUCCGUUCUCCGUCUCUCUCAGCUCUCAGGAAAAGUAAAAUAUGAUACAAGCUGAUAAAAAGCUGAGAGCUGAUAUGUUUCUGGGGAGUAUUUAUAUGCCCUAGGUCUCAAAAUAUAGGUCAAACCCGUGUAGGAUCGAAAAAUAGCUGAAAUAAUGGAAAAAUCGCGCAAAAACUGUGCUGUCACGCGGCCCGAGGCGCGGCCGCGCGCCCAGCCCGCAUGAGGCGCCACGAGAUUCUGACAGCUUUGCGCCAAUUUUGUUUUUGCUCGUUCUCCCUCGUCCGAACUCCGAUUUACGAUCUGUUUCCGCUCACGAACUCCUCUCGAGACAAACUACAACUUGUAUUUCAGUUAAUUCUUUCAAAUUCUGCUUCAUUAUUUCUGAAAAUUCGUUCAAACAACAAGCAAGUGACAAGUUCUUGACCAUAAACUAAUAUAAGCUCAAAUAAACCAUCAAACACACAAAAUCCUCACAAUUAAACAUCGAAAAAUGAGAGAGAGGGUUGAGAAUUGAAAGUAAAUAAAGCCCCUAAUCAACUCCUUAAUCAAAUACACUAAUGAUGUGGGCCACAACACUUUAUUUCUUAAACUACCUCACCUUAACCUCUGUGCCCAAAUGAAGUGUGUCUUCAUUAUUGGGACGGAGGGAGUAUCAUUUGUUCUAAAUUGUACCUAUAUUUAGGUAUACUGGCUAUUAAUUAGUCCAUUGAUAAAAUGUACAAGACAUGGAUAUCAUGAGUAGAUUAUUGCUAACGUUUAUUAGUAAUUAAUAAAAACAAUGUUAUGCACCUAUGUUGUUCCAGUUUCAUAUAUGUGAGUAUUUUCAACGUGAGAUUGACGAGGUUCGUGAGGAUUAUUGGGCUUCUUGUAUGAUCAAUGAGGUUUGUCAAAUAAUCCAUAAAAUUUAUAUCUCACUAUUAUAAUAUCUAAAUAAUGCAUAUAACUCUUCAAACUAUUUGUUUUGUAGAUUGACACGUGAAAGGUCAAUAUUGGUUCAUGAAGAGAUUCGUUAGUUUUGGAUAUGAGGUUCCAACGGCUACUAUUUCGAGUUUUUUUUUUGUAUUAGUUUAGGGUGGAUUCAAACUUUAACCCAAACUUGUAGUAGUAUAUUGUAUUGUGGAUGUAAGAUUCUUAAUGUUGGAUGAUUAAUGUAUGGAUAUGUUAUUGAGAAUUUAAAUUAUGUGUUGAAAUGUUAUAUUGUACAAUUUAUUGGAUUUCAAAAUUUAAAUUAUGUGUUGAAAUGUUAUACUGUACAAUUUAUUGGAUUUCAAAAUUUAAAGUAGGAAAAAAAAA